UGGGAACAUACCUUUUGGUUCGGAACAACACAGGGAAACUUGUGCUAAUACCGGAUAAGCCCUUACGGGGAAAGAUUUAUCGCCGAAAGAUUGGCCCGCGUCUGAUUAGCUAGUUGGNGAGGUAAUGGCUCACCAAGGCGACGAUCAGUAGCUGGUCUGAGAGGAUGAUCAGCCACAUUGGGACUGAGACACGGCCCAAACUCCGUACGGGAGCAG
rnacentral:rRNA from 1 species